AAGUCGUAACAAGGUUUCCGUAGGUGAACCUGCGGAAGGAUCAUUAACACGUUUUUACGUCUAUCAACCAACUGUGCAUUCUUCACUCAACCUUCGGGAAGAGUGAAUUUUUCACAUUUCUCACCAAAUGUCUCUAAAGCAUUUGUUGUUAUGGAAGUAUGUCCUGUACAUUCUUCUCUUAUCAAUUGAAAUUUCUCAAUUGUUCAUACAACUCUUAGCAAUGGAUAUCUUGGUUCUC
rnacentral:misc_RNA from 1 species